rnacentral:rRNA from 1 species
CUUUUGUCAGGCAAGAAACACCGGCUCUAACACAGUCCGGGAAUGACGGUACCUGAAGAAUAAGCACCGGCUAACUACGUGCCAGCAGCCGCGGUAAUACGUAGGGUGCGAGCGUUAAUCGGAAUUACUGGGCGUAAAGCGUGCGCAGGCGGUUAUACAAGACAGGCGUGAAAUCCCCGGGCUUAACCUGGGAAUGGCGCCUGUGACUGUAUAGCUAGAGUGUGUCAGAGGGGGGUAGAAUUCCACGUGUAGCAGUGAAAUGCGUAGAUAUGUGGAGGAAUACCAAUGGCGAAGGCAGCCCCCUGGGAUAACACUGACGCUCAUGCACGAAAGCGUGGGGAGCAAACAGGAUUAGAUACCCUGGUAGUCCACGCCCUAAACGAUGCUGACUAGUUGUUCGGGAUUUACAUCCUGAGU